GAUGAACGCUGGCGGCGUGCCUAAUACAUGCAAGUCGAGCGAACAGACGAGGAGCUUGCUCCUCUGACGUUAGCGGCGGACGGGUGAGUAACACGUGGAUAACCUACCUAUAAGACUGGGAUAACUUCGGGAAACCGGAGCUAAUACCGGAUAAUAUAUUGAACCGCAUGGUUCAAUAGUGAAAGACGGUUUUGCUGUCACUUAUAGAUGGAUCCGCGCCGCAUUAGCUAGUUGGUAAGGUAACGGCUUACCAAGGCAACGAUGCGUAGCCGACCUGAGAGGGUGAUCGGCCACACUGGAACUGAGACACGGUCCAGACUCCUACGGGAGGCAGCAGUGGGGAAUCUUCCGCAAUGGGCGAAAGCUUGACGGAGCAACGCCGCGGGAGUGAUGAAGGGCUUCGGAUCGUAAAACUCUGUUAUUAGGGAAAAACAAAUGUGUAAGUAACGAUGCACGUCUGGAGGGUACCUAAUCAGAAAGCCACGGCUAACUAGGG
rnacentral:rRNA from 1 species